rnacentral:piRNA from 1 species
UCCCACUGACGAUACAACCUUGAUAGAGGGC